UACGUAGGGGGCGAGCGUUACCCGGAUUUACUGGGCGUAAAGGGGGCGUAGGCGGCCGUGAAAGUCCGGUGUGAAAACUCACGGCUCAACCGUGGGACUGCGCUGGAAACUACACGGCUUGAGGACGGUAGAGGGAGACGGAACUGCUGGUGUAGGGGUGAAAUCCGUAGAUAUCAGCAGGAACGCCGGUGGAGAAGUCGGUCUCCUGGGCCGUAACCGACGCUGAGGCACGAAAGCUAGGGGAGCGAACCGG
rnacentral:rRNA from 1 species